rnacentral:rRNA from 1 species
AGGGCACCACCAGGAGUGGAGCCUGCGGCUUAAUUUGACUCAACACGGGGAAACUUGCCCGGCCUGGACACUGGAAGGAUUGACAGAUUGAGAGCUCUUUCUUGAUUCAGUGGGUGGUGGUGCAUGGCCGUUCUUAGUUGGUGGAGCGAUUUGUCUGGUUAAUUCCGAUAACGAACGAGACUCUAGCCUAUUAAAUAGGCUCUCGGCUUUUAAACGCCGGGAGGACUUCUUAGAGGGACAGGUGGCGGUUCAGCCGCACGAAAGAGAGCAAUAACAGGUCUGUGAUGCCCUUUGUUGUCCGGGGCCGCACGCGCGCUACACUGAAGAGAUCAGCGUGCUUUACGUUCCUGCUCCGACCGGAGUGGGGAACCCAGUGAACCUUCUUCGUGAUUGGGAUAGAAGAUUGUAAUUAUUCUUCUUGAACGAGGAAUUCCCAGUAAAUGCGAGUCAUAAGCUCGCGUUGAUUACGUCCCUGCCCUUUGUACACACCGCCCGUCGCUACUACCGAUUGAACGAUUU